rnacentral:rRNA from 1 species
UACGGAGGGUGCAAGCGUUGUCCGGAAUUAUUGGGCGUAAAGAGCUCGUAGGCGGUCUGUCGCGUCGGAUGUGAAAACCCAGGGCUCAACCCUGGGCCUGCAUUCGAUACGGGCAGACUAGAGUUCGGUAGGGGAGACUGGAAUUCCUGGUGUAGCGGUGAAAUGCGCAGAUAUCAGGAGGAACACCGGUGGCGAAGGCGGGUCUCUGGGCCGAAACUGACGCUGAGGAGCGAAAGCGUGGGGAGCAAACAGG